AGCGAACGCUGGCGGCAGGCCUAACACAUGCAAGUCGAGCGAAGUCUUCGGACUUAGUGGCGGACGGGUGAGUAACACGUGGGAACGUACCUUUUGGUUCGGAACAACUCAGGGAAACUUGAGCUAAUACCGGAUGAGCCCUUAGGGGGAAAGAUUUAUCGCCGAAAGAGCGGCCCGCGUUAGAUUAGCUAGUUGGUGAGGUAAAGGCUCACCAAGGCUACGAUCUAUAGCUGGUCUGAGAGGAUGAUCAGCCACACUGGGACUGAGACACGGCCUAGACUCCUACGGGAGGCAGCAGUGGGGAAUCUUGCGCAAUGGGCGAAAGCCUGACGCAGCCAUGCCGCGUGAAUGAUGAAGGUCUUAGGAUUGUAAAAUUCUUUUACCAGGGACGAUAAUGACGGUACCUGGAGAAAAAGCCCCGGCUAACUUCGUGCCAGCCGCCGCGGUAACAC
rnacentral:rRNA from 1 species